UACGAAGGGGGCUAGCGUUGUUCGGAAUUACUGGGCGUAAAGAGCUCGUAGGCGGUUUGUCGCGUCUGCCGUGAAAGCCCGGGGCUCAACUCCGGAUCUGCGGUGGGUACGGGCAGACUAGAGUGAUGUAGGGGAGAUUGGAAUUCCUGGUGUAGCGGUGAAAUGCGCAGAUAUCAGGAGGAACACCGAUGGCGAAGGCAGGUCUCUGGGCAUUAACUGACGCUGAGGAGCGAAAGCAUGGGGAGCGAACAGG
rnacentral:rRNA from 1 species